rnacentral:lncRNA from 1 species
AAAUUAAAUGUAGGCAUGAGGUAACAAUCAAGUUAUGGGAUAAUGAACAGUAUCAAAUUAAGUCUACUGAUAAUACUUCCAAAAAAUCAGAUUCGUGUGUUUAACUUCAUCCUUAAAAAUAACGUCAUCCUGUAGAUAAGUUAAACUAAUAUUUCGCUCCAAAAUAUGGACAUGUUGAUGUUAGUUUUGACGCUGAAGAGUCUUGGGAGAAAAAAAAAAUAAUUGCAUAUCACAUAAGCAAAAAUAAACGUAAAAUGUAAGAAUUAGCAAACUUUCAACUUUAGUAUCAUAUACAUCUGAAACAAAAUGUCAGAAUUGUAGAAUGGCAUUACCUGAUCAACGAGCAUCUAGAAUUAGAAUCAUUUGCAUCACAAUACGUAAACCAAUGUACUAUAAGCAGUAUCUGUAAAGAGUAAAUUAUACCAGUCUAGGACAAGUAGCUACUUAGUAAUGCAGUCUCUUUCUACAUCAUCGCAAACAUGAUUAAACACAUAGCAAGUUCUAUUUUGGUAAUUAUAUUUUCAUUAGAAUGGCUAUGAACUCUUCCACAUAUAUAAACACAUUCGGGUGUAAAUGUUGGCAGACGAUACAACAUUACAAAACACUAAUUAAAUCUGUUAACUCAAUGCACUAUAAAAUGAGAUUGACCAAAAUUUUCUAUGUGAUUUUCAAACUUUCAGGAAACGAAUUUCAGAAUAAACUAAUAAUCAAUAUUAUAUUCAUUCAUAGUCUACAGCAUGGAGCUGAUUAAAGAACAACCUUGACAUGAGAUAAAUGCCUCUUAUCAAACUAAAUGUGGCCCUAUGGAACCAACUAACAAAUCUAAGGAUUGGUUUAGGCACAGAAAAUAAGGUUUGUAACUAAAAGUUAGGUGAAGUAGUGAUGUAGAUCGAGUCAUGUAGAUGGUGACAUGAUGCUAUUUGAUUUUAAACAUCAACAAAUUAAAAAAGCAGUGAUAAUAUACAAGAUAAAAGUGGAUAAUGAAGCAGAGAAAGAGAAGAAAAAGUGGAUAAUGAAGCAGAGAAAGAGAAGAAAUUAGGUACGAAAGGGAUAAGGGAGUUAACAGACAAGAUGUAUAAGAAAGGCAUACAAUAGGAGAGAGGCUAAAUCUCUUGGUCUAAUUCGUCAAAAAGGUUCUGGUAUUAAUUCAUAGAGAGAAACUAUAAGACCACAAAGGGAACAAAAAUAUUAGAGAAUACAACUUGACUACAACAAGUACCACGGAAUAUAGGUCAAAAAAAAGGAAAAAAAAAACUUAAAACCGGUGGAUUCAGUACAAAGGCAGGAAGCCGAUUCCUUCUUGAUUCCCAUACCUUUACAGAGGAAUUACAUGGUAGAUUAUUCAAGAUUAAAAAGACAUUAGCAAACUUUCCCUUUAAUUCAGAGUUUACGAUCUAUUUCACAAGAGGUCCAUUGGAAUAUUGUUAAUUCUACAACGGCGUGAACGUCAGGGUCUACAGACCCUACUUCAAUAUUAGGUUGACUUGGGAAAUUCUAGGACUAUACUUUCGUUGCACGUUGAGUGUUCUCCAAAAAUGCUAAAUGGAACUUAUGGCCUCACUGGCAUUGUUGCUGCUUUCACAAUUAUUUAAACACAAAUACUAUGUGAUUCGAUGAGAUGGCGGAUGGAGUUCUCCACUUUUGUCAUUGUCUGUUAGCUUGCGAUAAGCCCGGGCAGGAUGAAGAAUCAAGUUCUCUAUUUUGAUCUAUAGCGACCCCAAGUCUUUGUAUCCGGUUCUUCCCAUAAUCUUCAAAGUAGUAGAACAUCUUUCUCAGUAGCUAGAUAGAACAACAAAUGAUCUCCCGCCAACGAAUCAUCUUUCUCACCAUGUAUGAUGAAGGCAAUCCAAUUUCCUACGGCUAUCUUUGCACUUCACACAGCCUCCUCUUGCUUCGGUCUUUUGAAUUUCUAAUGUUCUAUAGAGUACUAACAAAGGGAGGGGAAAUUCUUGAUUCUAUUUAUCUCCACUUCUUUGAUUCCUUAUUACAUAUUCGCUAAAGGUCAGAUCUAUUUCAAAGAAAAGAUGUGAUUUUGAUUAGCAAGCUCUUAGCUUUCAUCGUAGUGAGAGAGGAAUCGAGGCUGAUCCAGCAAAGGUGAAAGCAUUGUCAAUCUAUGCCAAACUAAGGGCACCUGAGGAUGAAAAGAGCUAGUACCCUUUCUCGUUCGGUUAGCCAGUAGCUAGGGCACCACAGAGAUAAGAGGAAAAGAUAAGAGGAAAAGACUAUCCCUCCAGGUUAACCGCCGACGACAACAUCUCGGAAAAAAUCUCUACCUUGUCUUAAGGUUCUUUGGUGUACUAACUUACCAUAAGCUCGAGUCAUAUUAUGCCGAUACAACUCAAGAUUCUGCUAAAGGCAGCCAGCAGUCUAUGGCAGGCAUUUCGCGGUUUCACUAUCUGAGGGAGGGGACGGAAAGAAAGGAGUCGAUCACCUAGCCGAUCCCGUACGAUCGUUGUUUCAUUUCAACCGAUCAGCCGAGGAGGAAGAUUGGGUCAUGUCCUCUAUAGAUAAGUAAUUUGCACCAAUUAAUUAAACGAGUCAAGUUAAAACGAAACAAUAAGCUAAAAUCCACAUCAAUUCUCCUCUUCUCCUCACCUACCAUCCUCUACCCUCACUCUGCCUGGAAUCUGGAUGGAGAGAAAGCGAAGGGAAGAGAGAAACAAAAAGAAAAUUAUCUUUCCCACCAUACAAACAUAGGAAAACCUCCAAACUCGCAGUCGAUCUCUCCACACAUGCUUAUAAGACAACGAAAGCCCCAACUAAGUUCAGCAUCUGGAUUCAAUAAUUGAGCAAAAGUAUACGGAACUUACCUGAAAUUCGAUCCACAUACUUGCUUCAAUGAAACUGUGCUCGCGUAAAGUAAUCGAAAUAUGCUAAACAAACUCAUAAGCGAAGAUUAGGGAUUGGUUCGAUGCGUUUUGACCUAGCAGUUGUCACAAGCAACGAUCACAAAGACUGUGUGGCAGCAAGAUCUGAUCUAGAUCUAUCGUUAAAUUUGGCCCUUUAUUAGUCGGGGAGAAGAGCAGUAGUAACCUGGAGCAGCGGUCUGGUAGGCGCGGGCGUAGUAGGUGGGGGCAGAAUGGGGCGGCAGGUGGCCGGUGAUGCCGGGCGGCGGAGUCGGCUGGGGGAAGCCCAUCGCCGGCGGCUGCGGAGGGUAGGUGGGCACGCCUUGGAAGGUGCCGUACUGCUGCUGCUGUUGCGGGGUCUGGGGCUCGCCCGUGCUCUUCCCCUCCUCCUUGCUCGUCAUCUCCUUCUUUCUUGUUUCUCUCCUGUUUCUUUUUCCUUUUUUCUCUGCUAUUAUGAGCUUACGACGACCCUCUCUCACUCUCUAUUAUUAUAUCUCUUACUAUUAUGCGCGUUUGUUUACAUGUGCAUUAGGUUGUGAUGGUUCCGGUAGCUGAAACAAGCUAUCACAGUAGUUAAUGGAUUUGCGUGGGUCUCCGCUGGUGGGCCGUCUGGAUUGAUAUGUGUCUAUCUGUACGUCCUCCCAGAUUUUCAUAAAGAUUUCAAAAUUAUAUUUUUUAAAUAAACACGACAAUGAUUUUUUCAGGAGCACUAUUCUUCUAAUUUUUUAACUCAUGAUCAUUUCUAAUAUUUGAAUUAAUAUUAUUUUUUGACGAAAGUACUAAAUCUUAGAAGGAUUACUAUUAUGUCAAUCCUACAAUGCUGAUACAAGUACCAAAAAGUCGAAAGUGACAACCUUUUCACUCUUUCGAAGAAAGUAUACUACUCUAUACAAAGUAUACAAAAUUUACCUCAACUAAUAUCUAGUUUGAUUUGACCAUCUGACUUAUAAAAUUUUUUAUUUUAUUAUCUAAUCUUGUAAUUUAUUGAUUUAAGUCGGUUAGUGGCCCUUUAACUUUAAAAUUUGGACGUCUUAUUUAUGUUUAUAGGUUUUAGUUAAUAUAUUUUAUAUAAUUCAUAUAACAAUAAAUUUUUUAAAGUAAGCAAUUAGUUUAAAAUUUAUAUCCGAAGAUGAGCCAUUAAAUUAUUUAAAUCAAACAAAUUAAACGGUUGGGUACUAUAAAAUUAGAAUUUAGAAAAUCAGAUAGUCAAAUCAAAAUGGUCUACAGUUUAAAUAAGUUUUAUAUAUUUCUAUUUAUAAUUUAUUAAAAGUGUUCUACACCAUAAAUAAUAUACAUAUCAAAAAAUAAUAAUUUUUUAUUUUUAUCUAUGAUUUUUUUUUAAUAAGCAAUGCUACUUGUACAUUCCAAAAUGCGGCGUAUUUCUUAUACCUUUUUCAUCCAAGAGUUAUCAUCUCUUACUUGUCACAUUAUUUUUUUUUAAACUAAAAUCUAUUUGGAUUUUUUUUUAUGUACAAAUAGAAUUUUUCUUUUUAAUGAAAAAUUCUAGUUGUACAUCUAAAAGAAUGUAUAGAUCUUACUCUCCAUUCCAAAGUUCAAAAAAAUUUAAAUAAAUUAUAGUAAAAAGAAAGAAAAAUAAUGUAAUAAGUAAAGAAAUUAUGAUCUUGGACCUAAAUUUGCCACCGUUUGGUUUGGGGUUAAGUAAAAUCUUGUUAUUUCAGAGAUAGAGUUAAGUUCGGGGUUAAUGUGGGAUUAGAGUAAUUUUGUGUUUGAUUGAGAAUUGGAUUUAGUCCAGGUAUAAAUAAAAUAGUAUUUUGUUGGAGUAGACGGGAUAAGAAGAAUAGUGGAUAAAAUAGUAUUUUGUUUUGUUGGGGUAGCGGGUAACCCCAUCCCAAAUCGGCUAUUCCGGAUAGCCUAUUUGGGAUGGGGUUAGCUAAAUCCACCUCCGAAAUUGGAUGUUUAGAAAUAAUUUCGUGAUUAAGUGGUUAUUCCACCUCUUAACUCCGAACAAAACGGGUGCAAAAAGGUGUGGGAUAUUAUCUAUUUUAAAGUGUACCAGUCGCAUUAAUCUAAGUACUAAAGUAUUUUAUCCAAGUCUAAAUGUCUAAUCCAUAUAAAUAACUUCAGGUAUCAAGCGUAAACACAUCAACCGAUAAAGAAAAGUUACCAAGUCCCAAGAGGUAAAGAUAAACCUAUUCAACGUUCAAAGUAGUCUUAGCCCGUACCUGUGAAUAUUUGUUUGGAUCCAAAGCGUACGGAAUGCAACGCGGCCACAAGCGCCUUUGGGACCACUGGUGCCAGGACGGUGAGUUGUAAUCAGAAAAAAUGGAAAACAUAGAUGCGAAGCCCUUACACUAGAGGUGCAAUCUAGCUCACUCUUCGCCAGCUAGCUCUUGUUCGACGCGUAAUAAGCUCGAGAACGAAUCGCUUGUUUAGUAAACAAAUCGAAUAUGAACUGAAUUUUUCAAAUUAUUUAAUAAAUGAGCCAAACACGGGCUUGAGUCAGCUCAUUCGUGUUUAGCUCGAUAACAGCUCAAACACAUAUAUUUUAUAUUUAUAUAAUUUAUUUAAUUUAUAUAUAUAUAUAUAUAAAUAAUUAUAUAUAUAAAAUAUAUAUAUUUUUAUUAUUUAAUUUUUAGCAAAAAAAAAAUAUAAAAACGAGUUCAAUUAUAAAAAUACUCAUUUAUAUAUAACGUUUCAACUAUUAGAUCAAAGUCUAAUGGAUAAAAUUUUAUAAAUUUAUUUUUUAUAUAUAUUCAAUCUAAUCCUUUUAACUUAAUGUUCGUUGGCCAGCUCGUGAGCCAGCUCGNNAUAUAUAUAUAUAUAUAUAUAUAUAUAUAUAUAUCUAAUCCAAUCCAUUUAACUUAUCGUUCGUCGGCCAACUCGUGAGCCAACUUGUGUUCGGCUCGUUUAUUAAUGAGCCGAACACGAGCUAAAUUUUUUGAUUCGAUACUUUAAUAAGCCAGCUCGUGUUCGGCUCGUUUAUUCGGUUUGUUGACACCCCUACUCACGACAAUGAUAAAAAUGUGUCAUCAACUGUCCUUAACACUAGUAGCAAAAAAUUUAAUAAUUAAUAUCCAAAGUCUCAAUUUUGAGGUCUAGUUAUUUUAUUUUUUUAGCUAAGUUUGUUGCUCUAAAAGAAGUAAUAAACGAAAUAGUAGCAUACUACCAUUCUCUUGAAAAGAUAUUGAUUUAAUGUGUCACAAAUACGAAUGUAAAUGCGCCUUAUUUAUAUUUAGUUUAUUGAUAUUUAUUUGUCAAAGCCGGGAAUUUAUUUCUUAGUAUAAUUUCCAACAAUAUUGCUCAAUGCGUAAUUUGUGAGGUAACUAAAUAAAUCAAGUUCAAAUUCACCGAAACCAAAUAUACUUGGACUAAAAGUCUAGUGUAACUAAUGCUUCAAAAUUGCUACAGUCUAAUGAGAGAUUUUACAAUAAAAUAUACUGAUGUUGACCAGUUUUGUCCAAUAUAAAUUCUUAGCGGAAUAUAUAUUAUAUUAUUGGGUAAACUUCAAAUCCCUAUAGUAGUUUCACACUUUUUCACUACAGUACUUUGUGGUUUAAAGUGUAUCGAGUUAAUCUCUGUAGUUUCACACUUUCUCACUUUAGUACCCUGUUGUUAAAAGUGUAUUAAGUUAGAACCAUGUGUUUCAUUUUUUUCUUUUUAUUAUCCAUUUCACUAAUUUUUUUCGUGAAAUCAAUGACAAAUAAGGAUGUCAAUAGAUAUGGAUAUCCGAAAUUUUAUCCGAAUCCGAAUCCAAAUAAAACGAAUAUAUCCGAUGCUAAAUGGAUAUGGAUUCGGAUAUGGAUAUCAAAAAUAGAAACCCGACGGAUAUGGAUUCGGAUAUGGAUUUUGACUGUAAUCGACCGAACCCGAACCCGACCCGAACCCGACCCGAACCUGAAUUUAUUUUGUAUUAUAUAUAUAUUCUAUAUAUAGAGCUAGGCUGGUAUACUAUCAGUAGCACGGAGGCCUCCGUGCUACCAAGUUGUUUUCAAUGAUGCGGCUUUCAAAUCGACGAUCGGCUCCGUUAGACUUGAUCUACACUAUUAAAAGUAUUUGGAAACAAAAUUUCAUAAUUUUUCGACAUCAUUUUGGCUAGUGAUCAAAAGGUUCCAAAAUUAACAAUUUUAAUGGUAGAUAUGAUGCGUUUUUAGGUUCAACGGUGUAGAAGUAUCCAAAUUAGAUGAAAAUUUAAUAGAAAUUUCUACUUAACAUCAAUAGCAAGACCAAUACUUCCGAUUUGAAUUUUGAAUUCUUUAUCACGUGUUUUUAUGAGAUUUUCAUUUUCAGCCGUUCAUUUUUAGACUACUUUGAAAGUAAAUAAUGCGGAAAAAUUAUGAAAUUUAGUUUCCAAAUACUUUAAUAGUGUAGAUAAGUCUAACGGAGUCGAUCGUCGAUUUAGAAGCGCGCAUCAUUGAAAACCACUUGGUACAGGAGGCCUUCCGUCGCUACCGGAUGAGUAUACCAGCCUAGCUCUAUAUAUAUAUAAUUAUAUAUAUAUAUAUAUAAUAUAUAUAUAUAUAUAUAAGUGCGUCUGGGUGCUUUCGAAGCACGGAGCGCUCCGUGGCUUCCUUUUUUUCGAUGUUGGGACUUUCAAAUCGACGAUCGGCUCCGUUAGACUUGAUCUAGAGUAUUUGAAGUAUCUAGAAAAAUAAAUUUUGCGAUUUUUUCGAUAUCAUUUGCCUAGUGAUCGAAGUGGCUCAAAAUCAACGUGAAAAUAAAAAUCUCACAAAAUAUGAUGAUAUGACAUUAAAAAUUUUAGAUCAAAGUUAUUGAUCUUGUUAUAUGGUAUAAAGAAUUUUCUAUCAAAAUUUCACGUGAUUUGGAUAUUCUACACCGUUAAACUGGCAACCGGCUCACCACGGCCGUUAAAUUAUUGAUUUGAGCCCUUCGUUACUAGGCAAAUGAUAUCGAAAAAUCGCAAAAUUUAAUUUUUGGUAUUUUAAAUACUCUAGAUCAACUCUACGGAGGCCGCAUCGGUCGAUUCGAAAGUCCGAACAUCGAAAACAAAGUGGAAGCACGGAGGCCUCCGUGCUUCCAUAAGCAUACCAGCCCACUCUAUAUAUAUAUAUAUAUAUAUAUAUAUAUAUAUAUAAAUUGAUGUUAUAUUUGAAUUUGUAUUUUAAAAAUUUAGAUUUAAUAUAAUAUAUUUUGAAAUAUUGAAAAAAAAAAUAAUUGUUUCGGGUUUAAAUUUUCGGGUUCGGAUUCGGGUUCGGGUUUCGAAUUUUUGGUCGGGUUUGGGUUUGGAUAUGGAUUUUUAAAAUCCGUCGGGCUCGGGUUCAGGUUCGGAUCUCGGGUUUGGAGUCAGGUUCGGAUCUCGGGUUUGGAGUCCGGUUCGGGUUCGGGCUUUUGAAAAUCCGCCCCGAAUCCGACCCAUUUGACAUCUCUAAUGACAAAGUUAAAAUUAAUGGGUACUAAAGUGAAUAUUCGAUAAAUCUAGAUAGGAUAUCGAAAGUUUUUUGUACAUAAUUUAACGAAAUAUUAACGGAGAAAAAAAAAUCAGUGACAAAAUUAAAACUAAAGAAUAUUAAAGUAAAUAUUCAACAAACCUAAGUAGGGUAUCUGAAGUUUUUUGUAUAUAACUUAACGAAAUAUUAAUAGAGCAGCCGACAAAAAGAUAAAAAUAAGAACCACAGGGUAUUAAAUAAUUGAUGUACUUUAAACCACAGAGUACUAAAGUGAAAAAGUGCGAAAUCACAGGGUACAAAAUUGAUAUAUUUUUAAACUACAUGAUAGUAAAGUGAAAAAGUACGAAACUAUAGAAGUGGUUUUUAAAGUUUUUCCUUAUUUAUGCUUACAUAAUGACAAAUUUUUUAAGGAUUAGACCUACAGAGCACCAUCUGUCACACAAAGAUAAGGCAAUUACUGCAAAUAUAAUGUUUUGGAGUAGGCACAGAGGGCCAUGUUUAUCACGAAAAAAAGAAAAAAACAAUACAUGACAAUAAGAAACAAAGAACAAAAAACACAAAACGACAAGUUAAAAAAUAACCAAAAAGGUUUUCACGCAUUCAAAUUAGACUCAUCUCUAAUGGAUAUACCAACUAGAGUGGGCCCUAGACCCUAGUGGACCUGACUAGGGCCAGUAGUACAGUUAAAACCAAAUGUCUCUUUGUGAUGCCUCGAACUUGGACCGGUCGUUUUAUUCAGGGAAAGCCUCAAUUAGCCUCGCUGUCAUUUUUUGUCCUAUGUCACUUUAUUAUUCUAUAGUUUUAUUUUUAUUAUAAAUUGAUAAAAUUUAUAAAUUAUAGAAUAAUAAAUUAAUAUAUUUUACAAAACCACACGGUGAUAAAAAUUAUAGAAUUUUACUAACUUAUAUUUUCAUAUAGUUAUCCUAUAGUUUGUAAAAUAUACUAAUUUAGCAACCUACUUAACGACAAAACUAAUGGGCAAGGUAAAAGUAAAACCAUAUAGUAGUAAAGUAAGACAAUCAUACUAGAGGAUACCAAAUUGAAAAUAAGUUAAACCACGAGGGGCCAAAUUGAAGUUUUUCCUAUAAUUAAAACCAAUUCUCUCUCUCUCUCUCUCUCUCCUCAGAAAAUAUUCAAGAACAUUAAAUUAUAUGAAAUAACUUUAGAAGCUUGACAUGACUCGAAAAGUAAGGGCCUCUAUCUCUAAUACCAUAUUAAAUUAUAUAAAAUAACUAUUUAUCUCCAAAAUCAUAAGCCUCAAAGAGCAAGUUUUUUAAUAUUUAUAUUUAAUAAAAAAUAUUUUCAAAUCAAUUUUUAUUGUACCAUACGAGAUAGCAAAAAGUCUAAUAAAGAAUAGUGUGGUAAUCUCAUACUAAAAUGAUAUUUUUAAAAGGGGCAAUGACUUAUAUAUUCCUAAAAAAUUUUUGACUUUCUGAUUUAUCCCUCUGAGAAGGCUAAUAUUGAAAAUACUUUUUUUACAUUCCAACCUAUUUCAAAUAUACUUCUAGAGUUAAAUUCUGCAAUAAUUGUUAUCUAUAUGAAAUUACUAUUUUACUCUUUCAAAUAUACCAUUCCACUAUUAUCGACUUUUUUUAUUUGCCCUGAAGUUAGGGACACAAAAAAUAUUUUAAUUUUUGGUCUUUUUAAAUAUACUCUUCUACCAUCACUUAUAAUUUUUAUUUGCCCUUAAGUUAAGAGCAAAAGAGGCAUUUUUAUUUUUAUUUUAACUCUAAUAGAUAUUUAACUCACGUUUAACUCAAGUUAAUUUAACGGAUGGUAACUGUAGAGGUAUUUUGGAAUAACGGAGGAACAUAUGGGAGGUAUAUUAAAAAGAAAAAAAAGGGUAAAUAAGGUAUUUUCGAAAUUUUGAGGGAUAUAUAGGCAAUUAUUUCUUUUUAAAAUAUACUUACACUUUUGAAUAAUAUUAAAACUUUCAGUUGAUUUUUGUUAUUUUUACAUAAAACAAUAAUGCCUCUAAUCGUAAGGUAGGAAAAAAGUCUUAUCUCGAACAUGCAUUCCAUUUAGAAGUAGUAUCAUUCAAAUAAAAUUUCCAUCCUGCAUAGAGGUAUGAAAAUUUUUUAUUUUACGGCAUAAUUUCAACUCAAAGUUAGGAUAUAGCUCAAAACUAGAUUUUCACCCGUGCGAUGCACGGCUUAUAUAAUAAUAUAGAAUAAUAAAAAUUAUUAUGUGAUGAUAACAAAAAAAUUUUCUAAUUAAUUAUAUAUUUUUUAAUAAAUAAAAAAAUAUACUAUCAAUCUUAAUUAUAGUACAUAUAAAAGUAUACAAGAUAGAGAAAAAAAAAUUUGGACCAAAGUAAAUAUUCAACUAAAAUGCAAAAUUCAAUCCUGCUCUAUUAUCUAUGAAUUGGUGUGCAAAAUAAUUUACAUUUACAUAUUGAUGUGCGAAAUAAAAUUGAUAACUAAAAUUGAUAUGAAAAAUUACAAAUGAUAUUAAUAUUUAAGCAUAUAAUGAGAUCAACUAAACUUUCAUAUUUGACACAAAUUAGAGUAAGCACACAUAUAUUAGCUUUCUAACUGUACUUUAAGAUCAAAAAAUAUAUAGAUUUGGUUUUCAAAACAUAUAAGAAAAAAAAAUUUGUUGCCUGAAGAUUAAAGAGUUAAGAUACAGUAUGGAAAUAAUACUAAUGAAAAUUAACAGAAGUGAUAGGAAAUAAUUAUGUUCUAUUUAAAACAUCAAUCUUACAAGCGAAAAAAAUUACAGAAGUGAUGUGAAUUUUUUAAUUUUCCUUCUUCAAAAUGUCUCUAUACCUUUUUUACUAAUAUUAAUGCAGAAUUAUUUCAACCAAAAUCAUUCAAAUAAUUAAAUACUUUUAUUCUCACAGCGAAUACGCGCGCCGCCAAUUUCUUUCGCAACAUAAUAUCCAUAAAUUUCUCAAUAUCCAAUGACUUUGAAAUAAAAUUUCCUUAUUAUAUGUGAUUUUAAUAAUAUAAUCGUAAAAGCUAUAUAAUUUUUUUAUAAAGCGUAUUUUAAUUUUUUCUCCAAACAUGUCUCUUAUCAUUUUUACUAUAUUUUUAUGUCCAAACAUUUUCAACCAAUCAUUUCAAAUAAUUAACUAAGUAUACAAUAUUACUAAAUAAAAUACAAUUAUUUGCUCUUCAUGCAUAAUACUUCACCGGCCAAAUUUUUGCCACAUAAUAUCCGUGAGAUUUUGAAAAUAUCUUCAACAUAAUUAUAGUAUGACUUUUGAACAUAAAAUUCCUUUAUUAUAGGUGAUUUUUAAUAAUAAUAGCAACAAAUAUUAGAUUAUACCAUUAGAUUUUAUCUAAUUGAUUGAAAUAAAACAUUUGUUUAUUUUGUGACAAUAUACCCUCGAUUUAUAUCAAUAUAUUUUCUAGUAUACGCUUUCUCAAUAUUUCCUUCUCACCGUAAUAUCCGCAUCCAGUUCAAUCUUUCUACAACGUAAUAUCCAUGAUAUUCUCAAAUAUUUCAUUAAUUCCCUAUCAUCUCAAAUAUUUCAUUAAUCCACCUAUCUUAUAGUAAAAAAUAAAGACGAUGAAACGUGAAAAACAUAUAGAAGCCCGUUAGAAUAUGUCUCUAUCAUUUUUUAGCUACUAUUUUAUGUCCACGUAAUUUUCAACUAAUAUAUUCAAAUAAUAACUAAGUAUAAAUUUAUUUCCGAAUAAACGAUAACAUAUUCUUACUCAUGCGUAAUAUCUGUACCCGCAAAUUCUUUCGCACGGAAUAGCCGUGAUUUAAAUCUCAACAAUAAUAUAUAGUGACUUUGAAAUAAAAUUUCCUUCAUGUACAGUGAUUUUAAUAAGUAGUAAAUAGAUAUAUAUUUCCUUUAAAAUAUUAAUUUUAUUUUUUAAAGUAGAAAUUGUAUUUGAGUUUGACAACUUGAUUUUCUUAUAUAGUAACAAAUAUUAUUUUCUUUAAAAAAUUCUAAUUUAUUUCCUAUUAUAAAUUUAUUUAUUACAGGUGAUUUUAAUAAUAUAGUAAAAAGAUAUUAUUUUCUUAAAAAAUCUAAUUUUGUUUUCGCAUAAACGUAUAUAUUCCUUUCAAAAAAGAAACUAAUUUUAUUUUCCGUAAAGUAUUAUUUCCUAAAAAUCUAUAUUUUAUUUUUCCUAAAGUAAAAUAUUAUAUUUGAAUUUUGACACGUAGAUUAUUUUCCUAUCUCAUUUGCACCGCCAAUUCUUCGGUAAUUCUCAAAUUCUCAACAUAAUUAUAGUGGACUUUGAAAUAAAAUCACCUUCAUCAUUAUAGGUGAUUUUUUAAUAAAUUUAAAAGAUAACUAUUAUCUUAAAAAAAAUUUAAUUUAUUUUUCCUCAAGUGUCAUAUUCCUUCAUAGUAAUAAUAUCCUCAAAAUAAUUAUACGGUGACUUUGAAAUAUUCCCCAAAAUAGAAAAUUUGAGCUAACAUACAUUUUUUCUAUAUAGUAAAUAUAUUUUUUUUAAAAAAAUCUAUUUUUUUUCCUAAAAAUAAAAAAUUUAUUAUUUUGAGCUUGACAAUAAUUUAUCUAUUUAUAUUUGAGUCACGAUCUUCAGCUUUUCAGAUAGAGCUCGUAAGGUUCUACUUAUAGUAUAUAGUAAUAGAUUUAAACUUACUGGAACCCACAUAUGCAUGAAUGGGACUUUUUUUGUAGUGCACUACAAUUGUUACCAAAUUCUGAAUUGAUUAGGUUGACUAAAACCCUCGCACUAUUUGCAGUUGGUCAUAGCCACUCUCUGGGCUAAAUUAUUGAAACAGGCCAGGCUUACGAAGUGGAAUCAGAGUUGUUGUAUGGCCGGGUUGACAUCUUAGCCCAACACCAUAGCUGGUCUUCCAAUCUAAACACCAUGAUGCCAUGUGCUUAAUUUUCAGCUAACCUUGCUGCAAUCACAAUUUUUAGACAAAUUUAUUUAACGUUCUUUGUGACACCGCUGAAUAGAGUCCCAAUCAUAUAAAAAAAUUAAUGAAUUGGAUAUUCAUGAAGACUCAUGGACCAUAAUAAUAAAAGCAGUUUGAAUAAAUAUUUUCGCGCGGUGUUUACGUCAACGAGUUAUCAUACUAUGAAACUCGGAUCGCUAUAUCAUGUUAAAGUCGAUUCACCACCGAAAGUUGGACACACCUCUAUGAUUUGAGGCCGAGUAGAGUUGAACCAAACACUGAGGGCAAAUGAACCCUAAAUAAUCAUUAGCAUAUAAACACUCCUCCGCUUCUUCUUUUCCCCUUCGUCUCUUUCUUCUUCUGUUGCGGCAAGCGCACCGCGGGCUAGUCUUGACUUUCUCAUGCUUAAAUGUGAUGGUGUUUUGAAUCAAUGGAGUGAAAGCAUAUUAAUUGAACUUCACCAAAUGUGCAUCAUUUUGCCUGUUUGAAUCACUUACGCACAUCAUGUAACAAGCUUGAGAAUGAGCUUUGCUCUUCCAAGAAAGGAUUUCAUACUAUAAACUAGAGAAGUACAUCGCUGAGGAGUUCGAGAAUUGCUUCUAUCCUCUCUUCAUUCUCAAGAAGCGUCGCGUGCAGUAAACUUCCUUACAAGGUUACAAUUUCUCAACCAUACUAUAUUAUAUAUAUAUAGAGCCAAUCAGCUCCGAUUAGUCACGCUAAGCAUAUGUCAAACAUUGACCACAUAUAAAGACAAAACUUGUACCUUGAUCCUGAGAACUGAAUACAUAAUUCUUGACUCCAAUAUAAUCUGCUAUGUUGGAGCUCUUGUUAGUUACACACUGUAUAAAGAAAAUUCUUUGAUAGAGGAUCUAAUGCGAAAAUGUCAUAUAUUUAAAGCUUUUUCAACCACCUUGACUUGUAUCUCACCGUCAUAAACACCAUAUUCUUUCUUGUUUCUUUCUUUCUUUUCACAAAAAUAAUAAUAAUAAAGGAGAACUCCAAUUGUUUGCAGUGAAUUUUAAUGUAUACAGUAAGUAAAACGCACAUUUGAUUUGUAUUUCAGAUAAAGUACUUAGCCAUCUUAUGACUCCCUGAGCCACCAACAGAAAGCAAAAAAAAAAAAAAAAAAAAAAGAGAAUAUGAGGAAAAAAGAGAGGAAAACACAAAUUCUCUACAAUAAUUUACAUCGCUCUUUAAUUUCUAUCCUUCGCAACCUAACUUGUGUGUAUCAAAAUGAGAUUUCCAAAUUUUUUAAUCCAUCCACAUUUAAUCCCAAGAAAAAAAAAAAAUAAAGGAAAAAAGAAGGAACUUAUUUUGUAAAAUCCAAGUAAAGGGAGAGGAAUCACUCAAUCACCAGAUCCAUUACACUUCUGCACACCUCAUCGGGCGAAUCCGAGCGGGAUUGUCCCAGUCGUAUAAAAUUGGAAAUUCAUGGCUGGGCUGGAUUCCCUGAUGACGACCAGCGCUCGACCGCGGCGUGCGAGAAUGGCGAGACACACCAAUACCUCCGCUCGAGCCGGAUGAAGUAGUCUCCACGGGAAUCCACACCGUAACCGUCGCGAACACAUCGCAACUCCGCAGCUCCACCGUCCUCCACCGAGACGGUCAGGAGUCUUAGCACGGAUAAGUACAGUCGAGCGGCCACGAUAGAUUCUUGACCCUCUCGACGAACGCUUCCUCUGAAUCACCGCAUAACGCCGGAUCGGCGAAGUAGCUCAGCGUCGUCCCCCGAACGACGAGGUCUCGCGCCGCCUCGUCCCGGACAAAUAUCCAGUCUCCGGGGAAUUGCUAGGCAUGAUGGCGCGACAGAUCCCUUGAUCGAGACGUAUAAGAGUGUCUCGCCGGUUUGUCCUUCCGGCGACGAAGCGGUUGUAAUUGAGAUCGGUGGCCAGCACCUCCGGUCCGCCCGCGAAUAAUCAGCUGGCUGGACACCUUCAUGUCGCUGUCAGCGGUUCGACGAGGCAGUAGUGAGAAGGCUGGCGUGACCCGCGAGCCUGCGAGGCGAACGACAGCGGCCGCGGCCGAGGCCACCCGCAGCACUCCCGGCGUCGCCGUGGAACAGCCCCGCGUUCCAGUGUGCCCCGCAGCCGAAGAUCACGUUGUCCACGCGCGGAAACGCGUUCAGCCAUUGGUCGCGGGGAGGAGGUUCACGGUGACGCUCGAGCGGCGAGGUCCCGUGGUGUCGAAGUAGUCGCCGACCAGUAGAAGUAGGGCAGGGAGGGGGAAAGGGGGGGCAGGGGUCGGGGGUCGGAGGCGACGAGGGCGCAGCGGGUGUCGAGCAGGGAGUGCGGAAGGAGGAGGAGGAGGUUCGAAGGGGCCGUCUGGUCGAAGCAGGCGAGCAGGAGGGCGCCUGGAGCCAGUUGAGGUCGGCUGCCGUGUCCAGGAUACGAGAAGUGCCGUCGGCGGGGUCCCACGAAACACGUCCAUCAGUAGCUUGCCCCGACCCCAGCGUCACGCGUCCGACUCAGCCGCGCCCCACCGCCCCGCGCAGCCGCCGACCUACCGCAGCUCCCGUCAGAGUCUCGGUCUAUCUUCUCCUUCUCCUCUCCUUCUCCGCGAGUGCGCGACGCCGCAGAGGUCGAGUUCAUGAUUCUUCCUGUCCGCGAUCCAUACCUGACAGGUCCUGAUCCGAACCACGUCCUUCUGCGCCGUCUCUCCACAUUCGAUUCCUCGCGCCUGUGCCUCACUGCAGCUUCAGCGCGGGGCGGGGCGAGGCGCUGGCUUUUCAGCCUCUAUCUGUCGACCGGAGAACGUCGCGGGGCUGCAGGCCGGAAUCGGACGCCACCCGUUGAAAGACUCGGCAGCUCGAUCCGCGAGAAAGAGGACUUUCUGGAGGUCGAAAGUUCGCGCUGGAGAGAGAAGCCGACGAGGGGCCGAAAUGGAUAGAGAGAUUAAUAGAAGAUCAACUGGAACUGAAAGAUUAGAGCCAAUUUUUUUUUCACAGCUGAUUCUGUCAUGAAAUAACUCAGAUCUAUAGCUCAACAACGGAGACGAAAUUAAUUCUGAAGGAACAACAAUACAUUAUAUAUUUUUUAAAAAAAAAAUAAACAAACUGGGGAGAGGAGAGGAAGUGGAGGAGUGGAUAUUGAGGAAACAAAGAGGAGUCAAAAUGGGAGUUUCCCAGAACAUUAGCUGUGUGUGUACUUUGAAAAGAGAGAGGAGAGAAAAGGUUAGUUUGAAUCACGGUUGGAGUUAUAUUGGGAAGUCCAAGCAAUGGGGAAAAGGGCUUCUCUGCCGAAGGGCGAGAACGAAGACACAUUCCUUGUUUUAUUUUAUUAUUUAUUAUUUUAUAACUCUAGUGCGGCAGUGUUAUUAAAACCAAAAGUAAGAAGAAAAAUAAUAAUAAUUUUUUAUAGUAUUAUAUCCUGAACUUGAUUUUAAGUUUUCGAGGAGCAACGGACAGUGUCAUGCCGACACGGGCCAGCACAUUAGAGCCAAUCGGCGCGUGUAAUUUGAUCCAUCCGCAGCCAACAUUGCACAAGAGACCGCCGGAAAUGUUUAGUUUUAGAUAAUCAAAAUUGCUAAUACUAAGUAAAUAUUUGUAAUCUGAAAUUAUUAUAGCAUUAACUAGUUUAUUAAAGCUUUAAAUACAGCACAAAAUUUAUUGCUGCUCUUUUUUCUAACGCAUGAACGAAAAAUAAUAAAAUUCUGAAGUAAUAGGUUUGUCUAUUCUCCGAUGUUUGUACUUAUCUAUGCACAAUUGAUGGAGAAAAAUUAAAUUUCUAACGCGUGUUUUUAAAGCUUAUAUAAAAUAUGUGCAACGUAUGUUAUAAAACGGACGUCCACUUAAUUAAUUAUCAUCAAUUAAAAUUUUGCAGCCUAUUUGCACAACAUUUUCUAAAGUUUGCGAGAGAUCCUAAUCCUUAUUUUAACUUGUUUUAAUGCAUAGUAUUAUACUCGUAUUUUUUUUUUUUUUUUUUUUUUAUUUUUCUAGAAGGAGUAUUCUCAUAGUUUUAUCAAAAAAAGUAUAACAAAAUAAUUGCUCUCUACAAUAUUGGGUAUAUUAUAAAAAAACUCAAAUUUAUAAUUUUUGGAGUAGUUUUAGAGGAAUCAUCUAAGGUCUGCAAAUUCAUAUCUGCUCUAUUCUUUCUCUGUUAAAAGGAUAUGAUAUUUCUUUUAAGUUUAGAAAAAUCCCGAGUGAUCAAAUCAUCUAAAAUAUGCAUUUUUUAAUCUCAAAUAAAAUUAUUUUGAGCAAACCUUUUACACAUAUCCCAAAAAAAAAAAAGAGUUCCAAUUAAAUUCUUCAGAAUAGUACAUAAUAAUGUAUUAAAAUUUGUGAAAGCUGUAGACCCGACCCUGCACUAACCUAAUCCAAACCAAACUUUGAGUACUUGAGUUUUAAUAAAAAAUAAUUAGGCAUAUUAAUUAUUAUUAAUCUUUGAUUUAUUCCAUUAAUAUAAUAUAAUAUUAUGGGUACAAACAGUGGUACUUCUGAUUCUUCGGUGAAUUUAAUUCAAAUUUUGUUUAAUAAUUUUUUUUUCAAUAUUUGUAGUGUAUUUUGUACAAUUGUUUAUAUACCUUUCAUUGAUUAAAAGAUUAAAUACGAAAUUUACAAUUGCCAUUGAGUGCGGUUUUUCCUGGCUCUUGUUUUAAAUUUUGGCACUUCAAAUGAACAUAUUAGUUUGAUUUUAUGAUUAUUUAUCUGUAAACUCGUAUUUAAAAAUAAAAAAUAUAUUUAUUAUUCAUAUUCUAAUUUUUUCGUUGACUUAUAAAAUUCAUAGAAAUAAAUUUUCGUAUAUCAGAAAUAGAAAUUUGUUACCCAUCCACUCAAACAUGGUUACAUUUUUAUUCCGCACUCCAUUAGUAUCUAUGUUCGUUGUUUUCACACAUAAUAAAAAAAGAAUAAUAGAUAUUCUAACACGUAAUAUUUUUAUGCUGAGAUCCCUCAGUAAAAUUAUUUAAAUUUAUUGUUCAGUUUGUCUUGAAAUUUUAUAAGCGUCCACGUGAUGGACUAAAUUGGAUAAUUUUAUAGGGGGAACCAUCCCCGUCAAAUUAAAAGCACAAGUUUCCAGAAAAAUGGUCGAAAAAAAAUGCGUUUACUAAUGAUUUCGGUUUUUAAAUGUUAUUUUUGUAUUCGUUGUUUCCCAUUACAGUUGCUAUAAAAAUCCAUUCAAUAAAAGGUUGUUCAUAACGACACUAAUAUUUAUAAAAUUUCAUAAGUAACAUCCACAAAUGAGUCAAAAAUUUAAGCAUUUACUCACUAUAAUUCGUACCAUCCAAAAUCAUAAAAAUAUAUUUGAACCCAUUUAAUGUUUAAGAAAAUAAAAUCGAGUUGGUGUAAUUAAUCUUAAUUUUUGAAAAAAAAAAGAGAAAGAAGAAGAGCAUGCGGACCGACAAGAUCUAAACUAAAAUUUGUAUACCAAAAAAAUUUUACUCCCAAUAAUUUUUUCCCCUAUUUAUAUAAUAAAAAGAACUAACUCAGAUUACUCAAUUUUAGAAUCUUUUAUCCAAAUAUACUUAAUCUUUUUAAAAUCAUACUUUUUAAUUUUAGAAAUUUUUUAUUUUUAUACAAAAAUAAAAUCUAAAAAAACCCUCUAAUGCAAUUAAUGUAACAAAAUUUUUCCAAAAUUCAAAAAUGGAAAUUUCAAUACAGUUGAUUUCUUUUGUUUUUUUUUUGGGACCGUGUCACUGUUAAUUCAAAUUAGUUCGUUUAAUUUACUUUAGGGGAAGGUUUAAACGCAUUUGUUGGGCCUGAGGAAACGGUCAAAUGAACGAAUAGAAAUUGUGGGAGGAGAAUAAAAAAAAUAAAAAACAGAAAAAGAAAAAGAAGAGUUGAUUUUUUGUCACAGUUUGGACUCGCCCGUGAUCGAAAGUUCGCACUUAAAACGACACGAGCUAUUUAUUAUUUAUUAAUUUAUUUAAUUAAUUAAUUUAUGUUAUGGUUCCUAUGCUAAUUUGGAUUCUCCAAUCGAUAAAUUUGUGACAUUUUGAUUAGUACAUUUUAUUAAUUUAAAAUAUAUUUGAGCUAAAGAUUAUUUGUCGUGUGAUUUUUUUUUUUUUUGCUUAUUUAGAUUUGUAUAAAAAAAUGUGGAAAUUUGCAUUAUACGUUUUAAAAUAGAGAAAUAAUCUUAUACAUUUCUAAAAACAAGUUAAAAAAUAUCUCUGAUAAGAUUUAUCCGUUAUUCAAAUCUGUCCUCACAUUUACUACUGUUAGAUCUCUUCGAAUUAAACCAGAUUAAAUAGCGUCGGAAAAUUAAUUUUAUCUUUUUUACUUAAUCAUUUUCCUAAUUCUAUACAUUCUAAUUCCUCGUCUCUCUAUAGAUUUCUCCCUAUACGAUCAAAUUCUCUCCUUCGGCUGGCCGUCUCUAGAGCAAGUGCAAAAGGCUCGGUGGUUUCCCGAGACCUAAAUUCGAAUCUUAUUAUGUCACUUUUUCAGGCUAAGUUUAUUUCUAAAUACAAUAAACAGAAACGAUGCGUGCUAUCUAUCCUCUAAAAAAAAAAAAUAAAAAUUCUCUCUUCGGGAUUUCUCGCGUCGGUCACACCUCUGAGACGACGGUAGCUCGUGUGGCGGAGGUCCCUCACCAAAAUUUCUGCUAACAUUCAUUUCUCAUAAUUUUUUAACAAAGAUGAUAUAAAUAUUUUGAAUCAUUUUUGUGGUACAUGCAAGAUUCUAUCUUUAAUUUUUGCAAAACAGUGCAAGAUUCAUUUGUGUACAUGCAAGAUUUUAUUUUCAGGAUUUAGAUAUGCGAACGGAUUAAUGAAUAAAGGGCACAAUGAAGGAAGAAGGCUUCAUCUCCUUUAGUCAAUAGCUCAAAGAAAAGAAGCUUUUCUUCUUCCAGUUUGGAAAAAAGAAGAUGACCAUGUAGGUGAAUAAAAAUAAUAGGAGAACUGAUUAAGUCAAAUAUGAAGAGUAGACAGUUUGGGCCAAAUAAAAAAAUGGUAUGGUAGAAUAUAUAUAAAAGUAGGCAAAGAUAGUAAUUUCAUAUGGGAUAACGUACGUUUUUUUUUUAAUUCUACUCCUAGCAUCUAAUUCGAGGUUUAUCCUUGCUAAAGCUUGAUUUUAUAAGGUUUUUUUAAAAAAUUAUGGGAAAAAUAGUUCAUUUCACAGGAGAUAACGAUUUUUUUUUAAGAUGCAAAAAAAUUUUAACUCUAGAUAAUAUUGUAAGAUCUUGAAAUUUUUACAAAAGUAUUUCUCUCAAUAGUAGAUUUUUAAAAGAUAGUAUUUUCAUAUUUCUUUAAUCAGAGCAGUUUAAAUAUUAAUUAAAGUCGUAACUAUUGGUACAUAUAAAUAAUUGCAGCUAAAAUUUUGACAUAUAAAUUAUUGUAUAAGAGUUUUGCAAAAAAUUGUAUUUUGCUUUUUUAUUUUUUUUUUUACUGUAUAAAUAAAAGGGUAAACUAUCAAACACCAACUCUUAUAGGUUUGACACUUUCUCACUUAGUACUCUACUGUUAAAAUGUAUAAUUUAGUGCUAUGUAGUUUUUUUUUUUUCUUUUUUUUGUUAGUCUUGUCCGUUAACAUUUCGUUAAAUUAUAUACAAAAUGUUCAGAAUACCGGCCACCUAGGUUAUCAAUUUUAUUUUUGUAGCUCUUUUAGUUUUACCUCUUAUCCUGAGUUAACUAAAAAAUAGUGGAAAGACAAUAGAAAAAAAUAAUACCACAAGUAUACUAAACUUGAUACACUUUAAAUACAGGGCUUUUUUGGCAAAUAGCCGCCCGUGAUUAAUUUUAUGUUUAAAAUUGCCACUGUCAAAAUUUCAUUUCAAAAUGGCUGCCNNNNNNNNNNNNNNNNNNNNNNNNNUGGGACCGGUCCCCGAGAGCUUCCCUCGGGCGCACGCGUUCGGGAACCGGUCUCUCCCCGGGAGACCGGUCCUCGGGAGACCGGUCUUCGCCUGAGAGACCGAUCCCCGAGAGCUCGAUUUUCAGGACUUAGCCAAUUUUCGGCAAAUCUCGCUGGGACCACGUUCGGGAACCGGUCCCUCCCUGCCAGGGACCGGUUGCAUCACGCAACCCCGCUACGCCGAGCCAGGGGAACCGGUCUCUCACCUGCAGAGACCGGUCCCCGAGAGCAACAUCAGCCCAAUGAUGCAGUUUGCCUCAUUUGCUCUCGCGGACACAACUCCAAGGCACUUUUUGUGCUUUGGACAUUCUCAACUCCCACAAAGGGUAUACUUUCGACAAUUAGUCGAUCCUGGAUGAAGUACAAUCCUCGUAUUUCGAGAAUUCACUUCCUUACAGUUUCUCCUCUUGUUAUACUAUUUUUUAUCUUAAACUGCACCCAUUUAAGAGAUAUUUAUACUGUUUCUCUUCUUGUUGCACUGUUUUUUCUCUUGUUGCACUAUUUCUCCUCUUGUUACAUUGUUUCUCCUCUUAAAGGGUGCAGUUUAAGAUAAAAAUAGUGUAACAGGAGAAGAAAUAGUGCAAUAAGAGGAGAAACAGUGCAACAAGAGGAGAAACAGUAUAAAUAUCUCUUAAAUGGAUGCAGUUUAAGAUAAAAAAUAGUACAGCAAGAGGAGAAAUAGUGCAACAAGAGGAGAAACAGUGCAACUUUCGUUUAAAGAGUGUAACUUUCAUCUUAAUGAAUGCAGUUUACAUCUGAAAGAGUGCAAUAAUAGGAGAAACAGUGUAAAUAUCUCCCAAAGAGUGUAAUUUUUGUUUAAAAAGUGUAAUUUUCAUCUUAAAACUGCAGUUUACAUUUUAAGUAAUGCAACUUAUAUUUUUUUUUCAGUUAACGAUGCAAUUUCAUCUUCAUCCUUCUUUUUCUAUAAUUUUUUAUCUUUAUUUUUUUUCUUGCUUCUUUUAUAAUUUUUUUGGUCACCCCUCUCUGCCAACGGCUACGGCGCCGGCGACGAUGCCGCUGAGGACCCCCUGCUCCGAGGCUGCAGCGCCGCAGUGACCUCCACGGUGUCGGCGCCGGCGAAAAUGCAUCGUCGUCAGAGACGGCAGAAGAGAAUGGAGAGGGAGAGGAGGAGAAGGGUGGAGGAGGGCAAGAGAGGCGUCGGCGUCGGAGACAGUGAAGAGUCGAAGAGGAAAAAAAAAAAAAAAAAGAGUCGCGGCGCGGCCUCGGCAAGUACAGAGGCGAGGAAGGUGGGGGUGUGCAGGCGAGAGUCCGCUCUGUCUCCCCCGCUCUCUAGGAAGGGAAAAAAAAGAACGAGAGAAAAGAGGAGAGAGAAAAGGUAUGAGGGUAUUUUGGUCAGUUUGCUGAAAAAGUUGAUCGAAUCUGCAAAAAUGAAAAAGGUGGCUCGGUUUUGUAAAAGCCCAAAAUAAGUAAAUUUUUUAUGCAAAUUGGCCAAAACUUUCAGUUGAUUUUUGUUAUUUUUACAUAAAACAAUAAUGCCUCUAAUCGUAAGGUAGGAAAAAAAUCUUAUCUUGAACAUGCAUUCCAUUUAGAAGUAGUAUCAUUCAAAUAAAAUUUCCAUCCUGCAUAGAGAUAUGAAAUUUUUUUAUUUUACGGCAUAAUUUCAACUCAAAGUUAGGAUAUAGCUCAAAAUUAAACUUACUGAACCACACAUAUGGCUGAAUGCGACUGGUCUCUGUAGCGCCUACAUGUGUUACCAAAUCUCUGAAUUGAUUAGGGUUGGACUAAGAGCCUGUUUGGCUUACCUUCUGAAAAAGUAAUUUCUGAAAAAGUGAUUUUGGUUUGGAAAAGUGAUUUCUGUUAAAAACUGUAGAGCGUUUGGUGAGUCUGAUAUAAAAGUGAUUUUGCUGAAGUGAUUUUAGAAAGCUGUUUGGCAAAAUUUUUUGCUGAAGUGAUUUUAUAAUGCUGUUUCACAAUCGCAUACAAACUACACAAUACUACAAAUUAAAUAAAAUUUUAAAAUAUUACACACUACAAACUAAUCAAACAAUCAAACAUACAUGCUAAGUUUAAACAUCAAAAAAGAUUGCAACAAUAUUUGGUCUUCUUGCAACUUAAUUUUUAUGAAAGUAAUUAAAAAUUCAGUUUGUGCAUCUGGUGAAAAUUGAAGCGACGACCCAAAUAAAAAAUCUAGAGCUUGGUUCAAGUGUCACUACUUGAAAUACUAAAGGCUUGCAACUUGAAGUGAUUAAUCAACCAGUGAGAAAUGCAGAGAGAAGUGCCACGUCGGCAACGACCCCGGCGCGGCCGGACCCACGCCACGCUGGCAACGACCCCGGAUUCGACCCCGGCGCGGCCAGACCCACGUCACCCCGGCCCUGUCUUUGCUGGAUCCGGCAACGACCCCGGAUCCGACCCCAUCGCGGUCGGACCCACGCCAUGCCGGCAACGACCCCGGAUCCGACCCCGGCGCGGCCGGACCCACGCCACCCCGGCCCUGUCUUUGCCGGAUCCGGCCCCGGCGCAGCCGGACCCACGCCACGCCGGCAACGACCCCGAAUCCAACCCCGGAUCCAGCAAAGACAGUGAGGGAGAGAGAGAAAGUUGUAAAAAAAAAAAGAAAAAAAGAGAGUAUCUUCUUUGGAGGUUCGCCGGAGAGGAGGUUUGUCGGAAAGAAAAGAAUCGCCGGAGAGGAAGAAGGGAGAGAGAUGGAGGAGAGAAGAGAGGAAAAUGGAAUUUUUUUUUUAAUGUUAGAGAGAAAGGGUUGGCUGUGGUAAAUGGGAGAGAGAGAGAGAGAGAAAGAGGAGGUAGUUGGAAGUAUUAAAAGGUUAGAGUAGAAUUAUAUUGUUUGUUUAGGAGUAGUUUCGGUAUUUUUAUAAAUAUUUUUAAAUGAGAAAACUGUUUUUGUGGGAAUCAGUUUUGAGAAGCAGCUUUUUUCUGCUUCUACUUUUAGAGGUUGAAAAAUCAGUUUUCUAAUUCUUAGAAGUAGAAUCAGUUUUUAAAAUUUUCAUUGCCAAAUGCUUUACUGAGCCCAAAAUCACUUUUGGGCUCAGAAUCACUUUUAAAAAGCUUGGCCAAACACCCCCUAAACCUCGCACUAUUACAGUUGGGUCAGAGCCACUCUUGGGCUAAAUUAUUGAACAAGGCCAGGCUUUACGAAGUGGGAACAAGGUUUGUUGUAUGGGCCAGGGUUGAGCCAUGCAUUAGCCCAACCCAUAGCUGGUCUUCCAGAUCUAAACACAUGAGUGUCAAUGUGCUUAAUUUUCAGCUAAACGCUUGCCGAACACAAUUUUAGACAAAUAUUAUUUAAGUUCUCCAAAUAAAAAAUCUAGAGCUUGGUUCAAGUGUCACUACUUGAAAUACUAAAGGCUUGCAACUUGAAGUGAUUAAUCAACCAGUGAGAAAUGCAGAGAGAAGUGCCACGUCGGCAACGACCCCGGCGCGGCCGGACCCACGCCACGCUGGCAACGACCCCGGAUUCGACCCCGGCGCGGCCAGACCCACGUCACCCCGGCCCUGUCUUUGCUGGAUCCGGCAACGACCCCGGAUCCGACCCCAUCGCGGUCGGACCCACGCCAUGCCGGCAACGACCCCGGAUCCGACCCCGGCGCGGCCGGACCCACGCCACCCCGGCCCUGUCUUUGCCGGAUCCGGCCCCGGCGCAGCCGGACCCACGCCACGCCGGCAACGACCCCGAAUCCAACCCCGGAUCCAGCAAAGACAGUGAGGGAGAGAGAGAAAGUUGUAAAAAAAAAAAGAAAAAAAGAGAGUAUCUUCUUUGGAGGUUCGCCGGAGAGGAGGUUUGUCGGAAAGAAAAGAAUCGCCGGAGAGGAAGAAGGGAGAGAGAUGGAGGAGAGAAGAGAGGAAAAUGGAAUUUUUUUUUUAAUGUUAGAGAGAAAGGGUUGGCUGUGGUAAAUGGGAGAGAGAGAGAGAGAGAAAGAGGAGGUAGUUGGAAGUAUUAAAAGGUUAGAGUAGAAUUAUAUUGUUUGUUUAGGAGUAGUUUCGGUAUUUUUAUAAAUAUUUUUAAAUGAGAAAACUGUUUUUGUGGGAAUCAGUUUUGAGAAGCAGCUUUUUUCUGCUUCUACUUUUAGAGGUUGAAAAAUCAGUUUUCUAAUUCUUAGAAGUAGAAUCAGUUUUUAAAAUUUUCAUUGCCAAAUGCUUUACUGAGCCCAAAAUCACUUUUGGGCUCAGAAUCACUUUUAAAAAGCUUGGCCAAACACCCCCUAAACCUCGCACUAUUACAGUUGGGUCAGAGCCACUCUUGGGCUAAAUUAUUGAACAAGGCCAGGCUUUACGAAGUGGGAACAAGGUUUGUUGUAUGGGCCAGGGUUGAGCCAUGCAUUAGCCCAACCCAUAGCUGGUCUUCCAGAUCUAAACACAUGAGUGUCAAUGUGCUUAAUUUUCAGCUAAACGCUUGCCGAACACAAUUUUAGACAAAUAUUAUUUAAGUUCUUUGUGACACCCUAAUAGAGUCCCAUAUCAGAUGGAAAAAAAAUUAUGAUUGGAUAUAUAAGACAUCAUGGACCAUAUUAAUAAUAAGUAAGUUUAAAUAUUUUUCGCCGGUGGUUUACGUCCAACGAAUUAUCAUUACUAGUGAACCGGAUCGCUAUAUUCAGUGUUAAAGUCGAUUCACCAGCCGAAAGUGUUGGACUCACAUCCUUGAUGAUUUGAGGCCGAUGAGGACGUUGUUGAGACCAAAACUGAGGGCACGAUGAACCCUAAUAAUCAUUAGCAAUAAUAACCCUCCUCCACCUUCUCCUCCUUUGUCGUCUUCUUCUUCUUUGUGUGCGCGCAAGCGCACUCGCGUGCUAGUCUUGACUUUUCUCAAUCUUAAAUGUGAUGGUGUCUUUGAUCAAUGGAGGUGCAAGCAUAUUAAUUGAACCACCAAAUGUGCAUCAUUUUUGGCAUGUUCUGAAUCACUUCCGCACAUCAUGUAAAAGCUUGGGAAUGAGCUUUUGCUUUCAAGAAAAAGGAUUUCAUCACUACAAACUAGAGAAGUUACAUGGCUGAAGGAGUAUCGAGAAGUGCUUCUAUCCUCUCUUCAUUCUCAAGGAAGCGUGCCGUGCAGUAAACUUCCUUGUCAAGGUUACAAUUUCUCACCAGUACUUAUACCUCUAUAUAUAUAGAAGCCAAUCAGCUGCUGAUUAUUCACCAAGCAUAUGUCAAACAUUUGACCACAUAUAAUAGACACAAAAACUUGUACCUUGAUCUGAGAACUGAAACAUAAUUCUUGACCUCCAAUAGUUAAUUGCUAUUGGUUGGGGCUCUUAUUAGUUACACACUGUAUGAAAGAAAAUUCUUUGAUGAGAGGAUGCUAAUGCGAAAAUGUCAUUUAUUAAAGCUUUUUCAACCACCUUGACUUGCAUCUCACCGUCAUUAACAACAACCAUUUCUCUGUUUUUUUCUUUCUUUUCUUUUUUUUUUUUAAAAAAAUAAUAAUAAUAAAGGAGAAUCCAAAGUUGUUUCCAGCGAAUUUUAAUGUAUAACAGUAAUAAAACCACAUUUGUUUGUAUUUCAGUAAGUACUUAGGCCAGCUUAUUGACCUCUCCUGAGACCAACAGAAAAGCAAAAAAAAAAAAAAAAGAAAAAAAGAGAAUUAUGGAGGAAAAAAAAGGAGGGAAAACACAAAUUCUCUACAAAUAAUCUUAUCAUCCUCUGUUUAAUUUCUAUCCUUCCAACCUAUCUUUGUGUAUCAAAAUGAGGAUUCCAAAUUUUUUAAUCCAUCCACAUUUUAAUCCCAAGAAAAAAAAAGAAAUAAAGGAAGAAAAGAAGGAACUAUUCUUUGUAAAAUCCAAGUAAAGGCGGAGAGGAAUCAUCAAUCACCAAGAUCCAAUCUACACUUCUGCACACCUCAUCGGCGCGAAUCCGAGGCGGGACUUGUCCAGGUCGUAUAAAAUGUGGAAAUUCUGCUGCUGGUAGUUCCCGAUGAUCGACAGCGCCGACCGCGGCGUGCCGAGGAUGGCGAGACACACCAUCUCCUCCGGCUCGAGCCGGAUGAAGUAGUUCUCCACCGGGAAAUUCCACACCGCGCCGUCCGCGAACACGAUCGCAAACUCCGGCAGCUCCACCUCCUCCACCCCGGAGACGUUGUAGCACGGAUUCAGCACCGGAAAGUCGUCGACCAUCGGAUAGUUCUUGACCCUCUCGACGAACGCUUCUCUGAUCACCCGAUACGCCGGAUCGGCGAAGUAGCUCAGCGUCGUCCCCGAAUCGACGAUGGUCCCGCCGCGCCCGUCCCCGGACAAUUCCCAAGUCUCCGGGGGAAUCUGCAGCAUGUGGCCGCCGACGAGGAUCCCCUUGAUCUGGACGUAGUAGAAGGUGUCGGCCGGGUUGUCCUUGCCGGCGACGAAGGCGGUGUAAUUGAGAUCCGGGUGGGCCAGCAGCCUCCGGUCCUCGCCGAAUAUCAGCUUGCUGGACACGCUCAUGUCGCUGUCGCGGUCGACGAGGCAGUAGGAGAAGGCGUGGCCGUAGAGCCCGCGGAGCUGCGAGGCGAACGACAGCGGCCCGCGGCCGAGGCCCAGCAGCCCCGCGGCGCCGUGGAACAGCCCGCGGUUCCAGUGCCCGCAGCCGAAGAUCACGUUGUCCACGCGGCGGAACGCGUUCGAGCCAUGGUCGUCGGGGGAGGUGAGGUUNCUGGUCGAAGCAGGCGAGGCAGGGGGCGCACUGGAGCCAGUUGAGGUCGCUGCCGGUGUCCAGGAUGACGGAGAAGUGCCGCGGCGGGGUGCCCACGAACACGUCCAUCAGGUACUCCCCCGACCCCAGCGUCACGCCCGACUCCAGCGUCGCCACCAGCCGCCCCGCCAGCUCCGGACCUACCGCCGGCUCCCCGCAGUCGUCCGUCUUCUUCUCCUUCUCCUUCUCCUUCUCCGCGAGGGUGCGGGCGAGCCGCGAGGUCGAGUUCUGAUUCUUCCUGUCCGCGAUCCUCCUGAACAGGGUCUGGAUCCGGACCACGUCCUUCUGCGCCGUCUCUCCCACAUUCGGAUUCCUCGGCGCCUGCUGCCUCAGCUGCAGCUUCAGCGGCGGCGGCGGCGGCGGAGGCGCUGGCUUUUCAGCCUCGCUCUCGUCGACCGGAGAACUCGUACGGCGGUGGCUGCAGCCGGAAUCGGACGCCACCGCGUUGAAGCUCGGCAGCUCGAUGCCGCGGAGAAGAGGAUUUCUGGAGGUCGAGAAGUUCGCGCUGGAGAGAGAAGCCGACGAGGGGCCGAAAUGGAUAGAGAGGAUUAAUAGAAGAUACAACUGGAACUGGAAGGAUUUAGCCAUUUUUUUUUUUCACAGCUGAUUCUUCAUGAAACUAACUCAGAAUCUAUAGCUCAAAAGCGGAGACAAAUUAAUUUGAAGGAAAACAAUAAUAUAUAUUUUUUUAAAAAAAAAAAUAAAAAAACUGGGGAGGAGGAGGAGGAAGUGGAGGAGGUGGAUAUUGGAGGAAACAAAGAGGAGUCUAAAAUGGGAGUUCCCAGGAAACUUAGCUGUGUGUGUACUUUGAAGAGAGAGAGAGGAGAGAAAAAAAGGGUUAGUUUGAAUCAACGGGUUGGAGGUUGGAAUUUGCGAAGCCAAGCAAUGGGGAAACGCGGCUUCUCUGCCGAAGGGCGGAGAACGAAGACCAGUUCCUGUUUUAUUUAUUUAUUUAUUUAUUUAUUAUAUCUAGUGCGGCAGUGUUAUUAACCAAAAGUAAGAAAAAAAUAAUAAUAAUUUUUAUAUGUUAUAUCCUGGAACUUGAUUUUAAGUUUCGAGGAGGCAACGGCAGUGUCAUGCCGACACGCCAAUUAGAGCCAAUCGGGCGCGUGUAAUUUGGAUCCAAUCCGAGCAGAACACUUGCACAAGUAGACGCCGGAAAUGUUUAGUUUUGAUAAUUCAAAUAGUUUAAUAACUAAGUUAAUAUUUUGAAUCGAAAUUAUUAUUACAUUAAUAGUUUAUUAAAGCUUUAAAUACAGCACAAAAUUUAUUGCUGUUUCUUUUUUCUAACGCAUGAAGAAAAUAAUAAAAAUUCUGAGUAUAGGUUUGUCUAUUCUCCGAUGUUUGUACUUAUCUAUCACAAUUGAUGGAGAAAAAUUAGAUUUCUACGCGUGUUUUUAAGCUAUAUAAAAUUAUGUGCAACGUAUGUUUUUAAAACGGACGUCCACUUAAUAAUUAUCAUCAAAAUUAAAAAUUUGUCAGCCUAUUUGCAAAAUUUUUAAGUUUGCGAGAGAUUCUUAUACGCUUAUUUACUUUGUUUAAUGCUUAGUAUUAUACUCGUAUUAUUAUUAUUUUUUUUUUUUCUAGGAGUAUUCUCAUAGUUUAUGCAAAAAAAGUAUAACAAAAUAAAAUUUCUCUCUACAAUAGUUGGGUAUAUUAUAAAAAAAAACUCAAACCUUUAUAAUUUUUGGAGUAGUUUUAGAGGAAAUCAUCUUAGGGUUGCAUUCAUCUGUCUCUAUUUUCCUCUGUCUAAAAUGGAUGGAUGUAUUUCUUUUAAGUUUAGAAAAAUUCGAGUGAUCCAAAUAUCUAAAAUAUACAUUUUUUUAAUCUCAAAUAUAAUUAUUUUGAGCAACCUUUUUAUCAUACCCCAAAAAAAAAGAGUUCCAAUUAAAUUCUCAGAAUUGUACAUAAUAUGUAAUUAAAAUUUGUGAAGAUGUAGACCCGAACCUGCACUAACCUAAUCCAAAACCAACUUUUGAGUACUUGAUUUUUAAAUAAAAAAUAAGUUAUGGCAUAUUAAUUAUUAUUAAUCUUUGAUUUAUUUCCAUUAAUUAAUAUAAUAUUAUGGGUACAAACAGUGGUACUCUGAUUCUUCGGUGAUUUAAUUCAAAUUUUGUUUUAUAAAUUUUUUUUUCAAUAUUUGUAGUUGUAUUUUUUGUUAAAAUUGUUUUAUAUACCUUUUCAUUGGAUUUAAAAAGAUGAAGUAUCAAAUUUACAAUUGCCAUUGAGUGCGGUUUUUCCUGCUUUGUUUUUAAUUUUUGGCAUCUUCAAAUGAACAUAUUUAGUUUGAUUUUAUGAUAUUUUAUCUGUAAACUCGUAUUUUAAAAAAUAAAAAAAUAUUAUUAUUAUUAUAUUUCUAUUUUUUCGUUGACUUAUAAAAUUCAUAGAAAUAAAAUUUUCGUAUAGUCAAGAAAUAGAAAAUUGUUACACCAUCCACUCAAAUGGUUACAUCUUUAUUCGCACUCAUUUAGUAUCUAUGUUGUUGUUUUCACACAUAAUAACAAAAGAAUAUAUAAAUUUUCUAACACGGUAACAUUUUAUGCUGAUGAUCCCUCACGUAAAAUUAUUUAAUUUAUUGUUCACAUUGUCUUGAAAUUUAGAGCGUCCACGUGAUGGACUUAAAUUGGAUAAUUUUAUAGGGGAACCAUCCCCGUCAAAAUUAAAGCACAAGUUCCAGAAAAAAUGGUCGAAAAAAUGCGUUUACUAUGAUUUCUGUGUUUUUAAAAUGUUUAUUUUGCUAUUUCGUUGUUUCCCAUUACAUUGCUAUAAAAAUCCAUCAAUAAAAGGUGUGUCAUAACACUAAAAUUUAUAAAUUUCAUAGAGUACAUCACAAAUGAGUCAAAAAUUUAGCAUUUUACUAGCUUAUAAUUCGUACUCAAAUCAUAAAAAGAAUUAUUUGAAAUUUAAUGUUAAGAAAAAUAAAAAUCGAGUUUGGUGUAAUUAAUCUUACAAAUUACCGAUGUGGGGCAAAUAUUUUUGAAAAAAAAAAAGAGAAAGAAGAAGAGCCAUGCAGACCCACAAAGAUCUAAACUAAAAUUUUGUAUUAACCAAAAAUUUACUCAAUAAAGUUUUUGUUCCUAUUUAUAAUAAAAAGAACUACUCAAAUUACUCAAUUUUAGAAUCUUUUAAUCCAAAUAUACUUAAUUCUUUUUUAAAAAUCAUAUUCUUUAAUUUUUAGAAAUUUAUUUUAUACAAAAAUUUUAAAAAUCUAAAAAAAACCCUCUAAUGCAAUUAAUGUAAACAACAAUUUUAAAAAUUCAAAAAUGGAAAUUUCAAUCACAGUUGAUUUCUUUUUGUUUUUUUUUGCCGUGUCAACUGCUUAAUUCAAAUUAGUUGACGUUUAAUUUACUUUUAAGUUUAAACGCAUUUGUUGGGGCCGUGGAGGAAACGGUCAAAUGAACGAAUAGAAAUUGUGGGAGGAGAAUAAAAAAAAUAAAAAAAGAAAAAGAAAAAGAAGAGGUUGAUUUUUGGUCACGUUUGGACUCGCACCGUGCAUCGAAAGUUCGCACUAAAACGACACGAGCUAUUUAUUUAUUUAUUAAUUUAUUUAUUAAUUAAUUUAUUUUAUAGGUUAUCCUAUGCUUAAUUUUGAUUCUCCAACGAUAAAUUUUGUGACAUUUUGAUUAGUACAUUUUAUUUAAUUUAAAAUAUAUUUGAGCUAAAAGAUUAUUUGUCGUGUGAUUUUUUUUUUUUUUGCUUAUUUAGUUUUGUAUAAAAAAAUUUGGGAUAAUUGUCAUUAUAGUCUUUAAAAUUAGAGAAAUAUCUUAUACAUUUCUAAAAAAAACAAUUCAAAAAAUAUUCCUAUAAGAUUUAUCCGUUAUUCAAAUCUGUCCUCACAUUUACUAACUGUUAGAUCAUCUUGAAUUAAACCUAGAUUUAAAUAGCGGAAAAAUUAUAUUUUUAUCCUUUUUUACUUAAUCUAUUUUUCUAUUCUAUACAUUCUAAUUCCUCGCUCUCUCUAAGAUUUCUCCCUAUAGCGAUCAAAUUCUCUCCUUCGGGACUGGCCGUCUCUAGAGCAAGUGGCAAAAGGCUCGGUGGUUGGUCCCCGAGACCUAAAUUCGAAUCUUAGUUGAUUCACUUUUUCAGCUAAGUUUAUUUCUAAAUAAAAUAAACGAAACGGAUAGCGUGCUAUCUAUCUCUAAAAAAAAAAUAAAAAUUCUCUCCUUCGGGAUUCU